rnacentral:rRNA from 1 species
UUGAACGCUGGCGGAAUGCUUUACACAUGCAAGUCGAGCGGCAGCGCGGCCUUCGGGCUGGCGGCGAGCGGCGAACGGGUGAGUAAUGCAUCGGAACAUGCCCAGUCGUGGGGGAUAACACUUCGAAAGAAGUGCUAAUACCGCAUACGUCCUGAGGGGGAAAGCGGGGGAUCGCAAGACCUCGCGCGAUUGGAGUGGCCGAUGUCAGAUUAGCUAGUUGGUGGGGUAAAGGCCUACCAAGGCGACGAUCUGUAGCUGGUCUGAGAGGAUGAUCAGCCACACUGGGACUGAGACACGGCCCAGACUCCUACGGGAGGCAGCAGUGGGGAAUUUUGGACAAUGGGGGCAACCCUGAUCCAGCCAUUCCGCGUGAGUGAAGAAGGCCUUCGGGUUGUAAAGCUCUUUCGGCAGGAACGAAACGGUGGGCUCUAACAUAGUCCGCUAAUGACGGUACCUGAAGAAGAAGCACCGGCUAACUACGUG